rnacentral:tRNA from 1 species
GCUGGAAUAGCUCAGUAGGGAGAGCGUUAGACUGAAGUUGUUUACGCAACAAUCAUCUAAAGGCCUCCGUCUCAAUCCCGGGUUCCGGCA